rnacentral:sRNA from 1 species
CCCGGCAAUGAAUUGCCGGGCUAUUUCCGGAUGUCCCUACGGGACA